GGGAGAGGAGAGGGAGAGGAGAGGGAGAGGAGAGGAGAGGAGAGAAAAAGAAAAAACCCUAACCAACACAGGUGGGACUGGGCACUGGACUAGACUGAGAGCAACACAAUGGCACAAAACUCAUUUUAUAGAACUUAAAGGGAAAUAGAGAAUACUGUUUUGAGAUUGGUAAAAACAGACUCAGCUAGCCUAAAAGUGUAGAGGUAGAGUAAAGAGAGAAUACAACAAUGAGGCACCAGGCUGGAAAUGCACAUAGACAAACAAGAGUGAAGGGUUUGCACAGCAAGUAGAGAGGGGGAUGUCUUUAAAUAUGUUGUGGAAGCAUAUUCAGUGGAAAAGUACACUAGAGUGGUCUGCACUAUAAAAGAGGUUGCCAGCUCCAGCUGUUGCUAAGGGAACCACUGCAAUCAUUUAGAGCAGCUAGGAAGCAAUUUAGAAGGGGUAAGAGGUUUUGAAAAUAGAGCAGAGAGAAACCUUCUGCUGAAUGGAAUAUAUAGUCUCCAGAUAUGGGCUUUCCAGAGACACAGCAUGGCCUGAUGUUACAGCCACACCUGUCAGGCUGUGUGGCAGAGGGGAUUUGUCAGAUGUAAUGGAGGUUAUCAGCUAUGCUUAAACUAUGGAGAUGAUUUUUGGUUGCCUGGUAAGUAGUAAGUGGGAACAAAAGAGGAUAUCAUAGACUUUAGAUGUGGGAGAAGACUCACUCAGUUCACAGUUGCUGACUGAGAAUGGAAAGAGGUAUCUGGAAUGGCUGAAGGACCACUCCCAGGCAGCAGUUGGCAAGGAAGCAGAGACUGAAAUCUUACAACCUGAAGAACUGACUACUCAGAUACUCUGAGUGACUCUGGAAGCAGACUCCCCCAAGCCUUCAGAUCAGAAUCCAGCCAGCAACACCCUAACUGCAGCUUUGUGAGUCCAGAACCGAAGGAACCCAUUUAAUACAGGCUGCACUCAUGACUUGGGACAAGUGGAAAUUACUAAAUAGGUGUUGAAUUAAGCUUCAAAGUUCACAGUGAUUGGCUAUGUCACGCUGGAUCAGGGCUAUCUUCAAAGAACAUGAAGUUCCUGCUCAGCAUAGCACAUUCUAUUCAGCCAGCCUCGAGCUAAGCAAAGAGCUUCAGAGCAUGACCUGGAUCUCUGAACAUUUUCAUACACUUACAGAAAUCAUUCUUGGACUCCAACUCAUAGGAUGGCAUGGCUCAUAUUCAGGCAGAACAUCCUCUUUCCUGUGUCUGCUUCACCUAAAAGUUCCUUCAAGAGUCUGCCUUAGGGCUGGUGAGAUGGCUCAGUGGGUAAGAGCACCCGACUGCUCUUCCGAAGGUCCAGAGUUCAAAUCCCAGCAACCACAUGGUGGCUCACAACCAUCUGUAACAAGAUCUGACUCCCUCUUCUGGUGUGUCUGAAGACAGCUACAAUGUACUUACAUAUAAUAAUAAAUAAAUCUUUAAAAAAAAAAAAAA